CACGUAGGGCGCAAGCGUUGUCCGGAAUUAUUGGGCGUAAAGAGCUCGUAGGUGGUUUGUUACGUCUGCUGUGAAAACCUAGGGCUUAACCCUGGGCUUGCAGUGGAUACGGGCAGACUAGAGGUAGGUAGGGGAGAAUGGAAUUCCCGGUGUAGCGGUGAAAUGCGCAGAUAUCGGGAGGAACACCGGUGGCGAAGGCGGCGUUCUGGACUGUUACUGACACUGAGGAACGAAAGCGUGGGGAGCGAACAGG
rnacentral:rRNA from 1 species